AACUUUUAACAACGGAUCUCUUGGCUCUCGCAUCGAUGAAGAACGCAGCGAAAUGCGAUACGUAAUGUGAAUUGCAGAAUUCAGUGAAUCAUCGAAGCUUUGAACGCAUAUUGCGCUCUUUGGUAUUCCGAAGAGCAUGCUUGUUUGAGUAUCAGUAAACACCUCAACCUCCUUUUGUUUUUUCAAAAGGAGGGUGGACUUGAGCUAUCCCAACAACCUUCACCGGUAGGCGGGCGGCUUGAAAUGCAGGUGCAGCUGGACUUUUAUCUGAGCUAAAAGCAUAUCUAUUUAGUCCUCGUCAAACAGGAUUAUUACUAUUGCUGCAGCUAACAUAAAGGAUAAUUGUCCUCAUUGCUGACUGAUGCAGGAUUUUACGACACUUUAUGUGUUGUUCAACUCGAUCUCAAAUCAAGUAAGACUACCCGCUGAACUUAAGCAUAUCAAUAAGCGGAGGCU
rnacentral:misc_RNA from 1 species